AAUCAAUCUCAACUUAAAUGCUUUUGUAUUCAAGUUGGAUUUGGGGGUUUGCCGUCGACUUGUUCACUGCUCCUCCUAAAUAUAUUAGCUGCUUGGUGAUUACACCGUUAGCUUGAUAUCUUAUCUAUGCUGCGGUUGAAUUAUUCCUGUGCUUCUAAUCGUCUUUGGACAAUAUUCUGAG
rnacentral:misc_RNA from 1 species